GCUUUCUGCCUUCUGAACAACUGGCUUACCAAGGAAUAAGAAGUCACACGUCAGAGUCUACUGCCUCAUGCGAUGGCAAGUGAGUGAGAGCAGCGAGCCUGUGAGCAUUGUUCAGGCCAGGCAAGAGCCGUACAUCUGCGAGCUGAGGAGAUGCUACUGUCAGUGAGAUAAGUGUCUGUUUUGCUGAGGGUUCUGCUCACGGCCGAUCUGACUCCAGGUAGAGACACCCUGUUAGCUGGGGCUGUUUUUGUAAGAAAAGGUUCCUGACUAGCUGUGGAUACGAGGUCCCCGUUUUCAGGGGCUGCUCAUUUUUCCAUCCACAAGCAGUGUGUCCUCCGCAAGAGAAGGUUGGAUCCAGGGGGAUGCCUCGAGCUGGCGAGUUCCUUCCCCAUCUCCUUCGUUUCUCUCCCUCCCUCCCUCUCUCUUUCCUGUACUGUGUUGGCCAGCACACACUCUUUCCCUGUCUGUGUCCUUGCCUCUCCCUGUGCUUUCUCCCUUUAUGGGACACGGGUAGGUGUGGAUCCCCAUAGGCUAGGUCUCGGGAGCCAGGAAGAAGUAGGAGGGGAUGAAAAUUAUGUGGGGUCGUGGGUGCGAGAGUGGAGGCAGGUAUUGUAAAAUAUCUAGCACGGUAGCAUGUUGGACAGUGAUGGCUCUUCCAUAGGUGGUUUGCUGUUCUUGCAGAGGCCGGCUCAAGGCCAAUGGAGCCGCCCCAGACAGAGGAGAAGCAUCUGGAGGAACCAGACCUGCACAAUCUAGAUGUUUUUCACUUGGCAGUGGAGCUAAGGAGUGCUCUCGUGAUAUUUGAGGAGCAGGUACGGAUGCCCAGUUAGCUACGGCUCAGUGUGUAACAAAAUGAGCUGUGGAUAUGUGGGAGACAAGGUCCCCAUUUUCAGCAUCAGCUCAUUUCUCCAUUCACAAGCGGUGUGUCCUCUGCAGAAAAGCUUGGAUCCAGGAGCAUGAUUCCAGCUGCGCUGGUACAGGAAUUGUCCAGGAACCCUACCCGGAGGAGAGACUCUCAGAAGUGAACCUGAUGAGCCUGAACAUUCUUCUAAGCAGACAUGAAGAGUCCUCAGCUUUCUGCCUCCUGCAUAAAUGGCUAAAAAGAAGUCAUUUGCCAGUCUACUGCCCUCAUGUGAUGGAAAGCGAGCGAGAGCGAUGAGACCCGUGAGCAUGGUUGAUGCCACGCAAAAGCCGUCCAUCUGGCAGCAGAAGAGCCAUCGCUGUCAGUGAGAUAAGUGUCUGUUUUGGUGAGGGCUCUGCUCAUGGCCCACGUUGAUGCUGGUAGGGAUGCCCCGUUAGCUAGGGCUGGGUUUGUAAGAAAAGGUUCCUGACUAGCUGUGGUUGUAAGAGAGACAAGGUUCCCAAUUUCAGGGGCUGAUGAUUCCUCUGGUCAGGAGCAGUGUGACCUACGCAGCAGAAAGUAGCAUCUAGAGGAUGACUCCAGGUGUCGUUACUUGCCUUCCUCCCGUGUUUCUCUGUCUUCUCUAUUGUGUUGGCCAACACUCUGGCUCUUUCAUUCUCCCUUCCUUGCCUUUUCUGGUGCCGUCUCCCUACGUAGGACGCGGGAAAAGGGUGCUAGGUGUGCAUCCACACAGUCUACGUCUUUGGGACCCAUGAAAAAUUAGGAGGGUAUGAAAAUCAUGCAUAUUAGUGGGUGCCACAGUGGAGCAGUGCCUGUGGGUGUUGACUUGGUCUUUAAUCAUCGCCUGGGGCUGAUGUAGACCAAAUGAGAGAGGGAGGCAGAGAUUAGGGCAAGAUUUCACAUACCUUCAGAGCUUUGUGUAAUGCUGACUCAUCCUUGGCUUUUGCAACUGCACUGCAGAGGAAUUGUCCAGGAGUGCUGUCUGGAGGAGAGACUCUCAAAAGUGGACCUGAACAUCCUUCUAAGCAGACAUGAACAGUCCUCAGCUUCCUGCCUCCUGCAUAACUGGCUUACCAAGGGAAAAGAAGUCACGUAUCAAUCUACUGUCAUCAUGCGAAGGAAAGCGAGACGGACGAGACCGCGAUCAUUGUCGAAAUCAGGCAUUAGCUGUACAUCUGGGAGCGGAGCAGUCACCGCUGUCAGUGAGAUAAAUGUCUGGUUUGGUGAGGGAUCUGCUCAUGGCCCACCUUGCUCCAGUUUGCAGAGGAAUCAUCCAGGAGCCCUCGCUGGACGAGAAUAUGCAGAAGUGGACCUCAGCAGCCUGGACAUCCUUUUAAGGAGACAUGAAUAUUCCUCAUCUUUCUGCCUUUUGCAUAACUGCCUAUGAUACCAAGGAAAAAGAAGUCACGGUCAGAGUCUACUGUCCUCAUGCGAUGGAAAGCGAGCGAGAGCGACGAGACCACGAGCAUUGUCAAAAUCAAGCAUUAGACAUGCAUCUGGGAGCAGAGCAGCUACUGCUGUCAGUGAGAUAAGUGUCUGUUCUGGUGAGAGCUCUGCUCACGGCCCAUCUGGCUCCAGGUAGGGACGUCUUGUUAGUUGGGCCUGGGUUUGUAACAAAAUGUUCAUGACUAGCUGUGGUUAUGAGGGAGACUGGGUCCCCAUUUUCAGGGUCUGCUCAUUUCUCUGCUGACAAGCGAUGUGUCCUCUGCAGAAAAGGUAGGUUCCAGGUGGCGAGUUGCUUGCCUUCCUCCCGUGUUUCUGUUUCUCUCUCUCUUCUCUAGUGUUGGCCAACGUGCUCUCAGUCUGUCCUUGCCUCUUUUUCUGCUGUUUCACUUCAUUGCACACAGGCAGGUGAGUUAGCUGUGUAUCCCCAGAGGCCAGGUCUCGGGAAGCAUGGCGAAGUAGGAGAGGAUGAAAAUCAUGCGGGGAAGUGGGUGUGAGAGUGGAGGCAGGUACUGGAAGGUCUUGUGCACCUGUAGUGUUUUUGGCAGUGAUGGCUCUUCCAUAGGUGGUUUGCUGUUCUUGCAGAGGGCAGCGGAGCAUCUGCAGGAAGCGGACCUGCACAAUCUAGCUGUUACGCUUUGCAGUGGAGCCGAGGAGCGCUCUUGUAAUGUUGGAGGAGCAGUCGUACUGAGAUUGGUCAGAUGAGAGAUCGGCCAACCUGUGGCAGAGACCAAGGAAGGAACAGCCACCCGGAGCCCAUCCCUAGGGAUGGAAGCCGGACAAUGAUCUGCAGAUACCACGGAGAAAGAAGUGAAGGGUUAGAGCCCACCCCCGUUGUGAGAUGGAAAGCACGAAGAGCCGGGAGACCACAAGCGUUGUCGAUGCCAGCCUAUGGCGAUGCCGUCGAUCUGGGAGUGGAGCAGCCGUCACCAUCAGUGAGAUAAGUGUCUGGUUUGGGGAGGACUCCGGUAACGGCCCAGCUGCCUCCAGGCUGAGACUUGUCAUUAGCUGGGGCUUGGUUUGUAGGAAAAGAUUCCUGACCUGCUGUAGUUACGAGGGAGACAAGGUCCCCAUUUUCAGGGGCUGGUCAUUUCUCUAUCCACAAACAGUGUGUCCUACGCAG